AUGACCAGGCUAGGUUGGGCCGCCACUGAAGGUAGCCACAUGCUGAGGCUAAGACGCCAGCCCAGACCACCCACGACCCACCAACGCACGCGCAGCAGCCGGCCCUCCUACCAGGGCACAACAUCUCCGAAGGACCUCCUCGUCGCCUUCACCAGGGCACAACAUCUCCGAAGGACCUCCUCGUCGCCGACGACACUGUGCGGGCUUUGCCCGGCGGUGUACCAUGGCGGCGCGGAGAGGAGAAGAGCGCCCUUCCUCCCCGGUGCGCCCACAACUGGCUGGGCCUCGGCCUCUCAAAAAGGACUCGAACCUAGGAACUACAGGCUUAUUGCUCAAAAAAAAGGAACUACAGGCUUGGGCCUUGGGAUCGGAAGUGGUUUUGAUGGCAGGCCCAUGGCAUCGAGCGCGACGGCGAGGGGAUGUGGAGGCUGUGGCCCUCUGACAGAGGAGGCAACGAAAGCCGGCUUGGCUGAGUUAGAGUGCGGCCUCGCGUCCCGCUCCGAACACAUCAACGCAAGCGCCGUGCUCCGCCGCCGCGAUCUCUAUGACGCCGUGGGCAUCAAUGAGAGCCUGAGGGCGCUAUGUGCCAGGAUGGACUCCACGGCAUUCUUCUGGUUCGUUGCAGCGCGACACAAGAGAUCGACGCAGCCUGCGCUUAGGUGUUGCUUGGAUCCGGGCAAGUCCGUCAUGAACACGAUCGCCGACGUGUUCCCGAUGGACCGACUGGAGUUGAAAAACCUGCAACCCUUGCCUGGGGCCUGGGCAUGCAUGCUCAUCCAGGAGGAAACCGUGCAGACGCUGCCCAGCCCGCCCAGACCCGGAGAUCAUGCUGGCACGACCCUUGCGGCGGGCUACGCUAACCAUGCGCAAGGACCUAGGCCGUCUCCCUCGCGUGACCCACUCGCCAAACUCGACGGCUCCCGCUCCGGCUCGCAAAGGUCGCUGCUCCUGCUGGCCGGCAAUUGUCCGCUCGCCAACCUCGCAAUCAAGGCCGCAGCUUCCCGAAACAAAGGUCCCCACUCACGUCUCCUUUGUGCUGCAGACAGGACUGGAUAA
rnacentral:rRNA from 1 species